GCGACCCCAGGUCAGGCUGGAUUACCCGCUGAGUU
rnacentral:rRNA from 1 species